AAGAUACUAGUAAAAUUGAAUAUUACACUGCCUUGUCAAGGCAGAAUUGUGGGUUAGAACCCUACGUAUUUUG
rnacentral:tRNA from 1 species